CACCGGCAGCUCAAGUGGUAGCUGUUUUAUUGGGCCUAAAGCGUUCGUAGCCGGUUUGAUAAGUCUUUGGUGAAAGCUUGUAGCUUAACUAUAAGAAUUGCUGAAGAUACUGUCAGACUUGAAGUCGGGAGAGGUUAGAGGUACUACCGGGGUAGGGGUGAAAUCCUAUAAUCCUGGGAGGACCACCUGUGGCGAAGGCGUCUAACUGGAACGAUCUUGACGGUGAGUAACGAAAGCCAGGGGCGCGAAC
rnacentral:rRNA from 1 species